CCCUUAGAUGUCCUGGGCUGCACGCGCGCUACACUGAUGUGUCCAGUAAGCACCUAACCUCUUCCGAAAGGAACGGGUAACCUUUGCAAAGCACAUCGUGAUGGGGAUAGAUUAUUGCAAUUAUUAGUCUUGAACGAGGAAUUCCUAGUAAGCACAAGUCAUCAGCUUGUGUUGAUUACGUCCCUGCCCUUUGUACACACCGCCCGUCGCUCCUACCGAUUGUAUGUUCCGGUGAGCUCUUCGGACUGCGCGGUCUGCAGUUUCUGCGUUCCGUGCGGAAAGUUGCGCAAACCUUAACAUUUAGAGGAAGGAGAAGUCGUAACA
rnacentral:rRNA from 1 species